rnacentral:lncRNA from 1 species
AUAGAUUUGGCAGUAUACAGUUCUGUACGUUUCAUGUUAUUUUUACAUUUGUUUUUAAAAUUUAAGAGAUGAGGUCUCACCAUGCUGCCCCAGGCUGGUCUCCAUCUGGGCUCAAGUGAUCCUCCCACCUUGGCCUCCCAAGGUGCUGGGAUUACCUGUGCGAGCCACUGUAUUUUUUCACUCUCUUACUGUAAUUCUGUUGCGCAGUCAGGAUUGGAGACUUAGUGAUCUGGUUAGCAAGUUCUCUCGCCAGAGAAGAGUUAACUUAUUUUUAGUAUUCAGAGUGUAGUUCAGUAAGUCACACAUAAAAAUCAAUUUGUUAUUUGUAAUCACUCCACUUAAAUGUGUAAUGGGAAAGGUUCCAUUGUCCUCCUCGCAGGGUGAGUGUAAACGAAUGCGAAACUGUCUCUCUUCCUGCCUCUCUUCCAAAACCCUGCCAUCUCUUUCCUGCGGCUGAGAGGCUCUGCUUCCCUUCAUGCAGUUUUAAACCACCCUAACUGCCGAUCAAAACCCCCAGACCUUGUCUCUUCUCUCUCUUACAUGAGAGAGGUUUGAAUGGCUCUUAUCUCUUUCCUUACAAUGUUAAGAGUUUUCCUCUAGGCAUUGGCAAUAUUACUAAGUAAAAUGAGCAUUAGGCUCAGCUGCCAAAGAUGCACAUCAGACCAGAUGUUCCUAGAGGUGCCAUGUAUGUGUCUCUAAAGCUCGACAGACACAGGCACUCAUGGCUCAGGGCACCUCCUGUUAUCCUUUCCUCUCCCAGCUUGGGUGGCUAUGCAUGCCUGCAGCAGGCAAGGUCUGAGCCCAACAGCCACGAUGGGGGAGGUGGGUGGUAGAAAGCCAUGGUGGUAGCUGAGACCCUACAGGGCCAAUGGAUGGGCACUUCUCGUCUGCCACACCAAUGGAACCCCUGCCCGAGGAAUUCAACCUGGUCUGAACUGGGAAAAGACAUAAGGAUUAGGGGGGGUCCACUUGCACUAAGCAAGGGGCUUUCUCCCCCCACCCCCCUGAAUUUUCCCCUUUUUGCCUCUUAAACUGUUUCUCUCUUUUUUUCCUUUUCUGAGUGAGAAGGGUCCCCCUCCCAACUCUGUUUCUGAUAGGGAAGUUAACGAAGGAACGGCCCCUGCUGGCUGAGAACUGCAGAUUUGAGAGGGCACAUUUGAGACACUCUACACAGAUACAAACAGCCUCUAAAAUGCUUUUUCAGUCCCAAACUUGAUUCCAAGCUUCAGGCAGAGGCCCUAGAAAGAAAAACCAGGUCUGAGGGUUCCGAGGCCAGGCAACAGGCACAAUGUAAAUAGGAAGGACCAAGUCCUGCCAACCAAAUCCUCCACCUCACGGAAGGACGCCAUGCUUCAUGGUGUAAACAGGCCCAGGGAACUCAGUUUGCCGACAGCAGGGAGAAAUGGAGGCGUAGGUGAGGGCAGUUAAUUCCUAUUCUCCAGGUUUUCUUUGCUUCAUGGGUAUGUACUGCAGUGGUACCUAUGGCUGGCCCAGGGAUAAGAAGUGGAGAGUGAAAGGAGGCCACUCGCUUUCUCUGUCACAGCCUGAGUUUUCGCUGAAAGAAGGAAGGGAAUGAGGGACGCCUCUAUUCCCUGUCUUUCAGAAUGGGCAACCAGUUCUCUUCACCACUCCCAGCUUAUACUCCUCUGGAGUGUGUCCUAAACCAUUGGGACUGCAUUGACUCUCAGAAUCUGGAGGAAAAAUGCGUCGUAGCCCUCUGCACAAAGGUUUAGCCAAAUUACGAUUUACAGAAAGGACUGGCUUGGCUUCAGAAAGAAACCAUUUAUUUUGAUACCAUUUGGCAAAUCUGUAGACAUUGAGGACAGAUGGGCUGAGGCCCCAUAUGUGCAGGCUUUGUAUACCUUGCAAGGCAAUCCAGACCUUUGCCGACAAUAUAGGAUUGAUCCAGCCCUCCUGUUUGCUGUCUCAGGGAAGGUCCCAGCAGAGGAACCAGCUCCCUCUAGCCCUGCCCCUAUGGUCCACCCCAACUUCCCUAUCUAGCUUCAGCCUCUCACUUGCUCCCUCCUAAAAAUUCUUGCUCUCAACAAGGCCCAGUCUCACUCUUUCCCUUCCAGCAGAUGCCCUUUGAAUUUGGGCCCAGUAAGGCCCAGUUACCCUUCUCCCUACAGGACUUAAAGCAAAUUAAGGAGGAUCUUGGCAAGUUUUCAGAUGACCCUGAUAAGAUAUAUAGAGGCUUUUCAGAAUUUCACUAAAAUAUUUGAACUCUCCUGGAGAGAGGUUAUGUUACUUUUGAAUUAAGACCUUGACGAACACUGAGAAGCAGGCUGCUCUGCAAGCAGCAGAGAGAUUUGGGGAUGAGCUUUACGUCACAUACAGCAUCAGGGAAGGGGGCAAACAUUAUCCAACUGGAAGAGCAGUACUAAUGGAUGACCUUAAAUGGGAUCCCAGUGACGAGGUGGAAGACGGGAAGCGGAGACACUUUCAGGUGUGCAUAAUGGAAGGCUUACCUAGAACUAGGACCGGGCCUCUCAAUUAUACUAAGUUGUCCAUGAUUGACCAGGGAUUUGGAGAAAAUCCCACUGCCUCCCUGGAAAGGCUAAGAGAGGCCUUAGUAAAGCACACCUCCCUAUCUCCUGAUUCAGCCAAGGGACAGCUAAUCCUAAAGGAUAAAUAUAUUACUCAGGCAGCCCCUGAUAUCAGGAGGAAGUUGCAAAAACUGGCCCUGGGACCAGAAAUUACAUUAGAGGACCUCUGGAAAGUGGCUACCUCAGUCUCUUAUAAAAAAGAGAGAAGAUGCAGGUAUUCCCAGGGUGCACCUCUUAACUGCUAAAGAUAGGGCAAGAACAGUUAUCUCUCCCGCC